rnacentral:misc_RNA from 1 species
CGCACAUUGCGCCCCUUGGUAUUCCGAGGGGCAUGCCUGUUCGAGCGUCAUUGCACCUCUCAAGCACUGCUUGGUAUUGGGCGUCGUCCCCCGUGACGUCCCCGGAUUCUAGUGGCGGUCCAGCGAGACUUCAAGCGUAGCAAGAUUUUUACAUCCCGCUUUGGAAGCUUCCCGCUGCGUGCCGGCCAGUCAACCCAUCUAUUUUUCAACGAUUGACCUCGGAUCAGGUAGGGAUACCCGCUGAACUUAA